rnacentral:rRNA from 1 species
AACGCUAGCUACAGGCUUAACACAUGCAAGUCGAGGGGUAGCAUGGUCUUAGCUUGCUAAGGCCGAUGGCGACCGGCGCACGGGUGAGUAACACGUAUCCAACCUGCCGUCUACUCUUGGACAGCCUUCUGAAAGGAAGAUUAAUACAAGAUGGCAUCAUGAGUCCACAUGUUCACAUGAUUAAAGGUAUUCCGGUAGACGAUGGGGAUGCGUUCCAUUAGAUAGUAGGCGGGGUAACGGCCCACCUAGUCUUCGAUGGAUAGGGGUUCUGAGAGGAAGGUCCCCCACAUUGGAACUGAGACACGGUCCAAACUCCUACGGGAGGCAGCAGUGAGGAAUAUUGGUCAAUGGGCGAGAGCCUGAACCAGCCAAGUAGCGUGAAGGAUGACUGCCCUAUGGGUUGUAAACUUCUUUUAUAAAGGAAUAAAGUCGGGUAUGCAUACCCGUUUGCAUGUACUUUAUGAAUAAGGAUCGGCUAACUCCGUGCCAGCAGCCGCGGUAAUACGGAGGAUCCGAGCGUUAUCCGGAUUUAUUGGGUUUAAAGGGAGCGUAGAUGGAUGUUUAAGUCAGUUGUGAAAGUUUGCGGCUCAACCGUAAAAUUGCAGUUGAUACUGGAUAUCUUGAGUGCAGUUGAGGCAGGCGGAAUUCGUGGUGUAGCGGUGAAAUGCUUAGAUAUCACGAAGAACUCCGAUUGCGAAGGCAGCCUGCUAAGCUGCAACUGACAUUGAGGCUCGAAAGUGUGGGUAUCAAACAGGAUUAGAUACCCUGGUAGUCCACACGGUAAACGAUGAAUACUCGCUGUUUGCGAUAUACAGCAAGCGGCCAAGCGAAAGCGUUAAGUAUUCCACCUGGGGAGUACGCCGGCAACGGUGAAACUCAAAGGAAUUGACGGGGGCCCGCACAAGCGGAGGAACAUGUGGUUUAAUUCGAUGAUACGCGAGGAACCUUACCCGGGCUUAAAUUGCAGAUGAAUUACGGUGAAAGCCGUAAGCCGCAAGGCAUCUGUGAAGGUGCUGCAUGGUUGUCGUCAGCUCGUGCCGUGAGGUGUCGGCUUAAGUGCCAUAACGAGCGCAACCCUUGUUGUCAGUUACUAACAGGUCAUGCUGAGGACUCUGACAAGACUGCCAUCGUAAGAUGUGAGGAAGGUGGGGAUGACGUCAAAUCAGCACGGCCCUUACGUCCGGGGCUACACACGUGUUACAAUGGGGGGUACAGAGGGCCGCUACCACGCGAGUGGAUGCCAAUCCCAAAAACCUCUCUCAGUUCGGACUGGAGUCUGCAACCCGACUCCACGAAGCUGGAUUCGCUAGUAAUCGCGCAUCAGCCACGGCGCGGUGAAUACGUUCCCGGGCCUUGUACACACCGCCCGUCAAGCCAUGGGAGCCGGGGGUACCUGAAGUGCGUAACCGCGAGGAGCGCCCUAGGGUAAAACUGGUGAC